UACGGAGGAUGCGAGCGUUAUCCGGAUUUAUUGGGUUUAAAGGGUGCGUAGGCGGGUUAUCAAGUCAGCGGUAAAAUCGUGGAGCUCAACGCCAUCCAGCCGUUGAAACUGAUGAUCUUGAGUGGGCGAGAAGUAUGCGGAAUGCGUGGUGUAGCGGUGAAAUGCUUAGAGAUCAUACAGAACACCGAUUGCGAAGGCAGCGUACCGGCGCCCUACUGACGCUGAGGCACGAAAGCGUGGGUAUCGAACAGG
rnacentral:rRNA from 1 species